rnacentral:rRNA from 1 species
CGGGUGGAGGUAAUGUACUGGAACUGGACCUGAUGGAGGGGGAUAACUACUGGAAACGGGGGCUAAUACCGCAUGACGUCGCAAGACCAAAGAGGGGACCUUCGGGCCUCUUGCCAUCGGAUGUGCCCAGAUGGGAUUAGCUAGUAGGUGGGGUAACGGCUCACCUAGGCGACGAUCCCUAGCUGGUCUGAGAGGAUGACCAGCCACACUGGAACUGAGACACGGUCCAG